AUGGCAUUUCAUAUCUAUCUUUGGUCUUGGUUUUUAUGCAUUUGUUUGGUCUUGGUUUCAGGAUUUGAUACUAAUUUGGAGAAUCCAAUAGGAGAGCAUUUUACAAAACAAUGCUUAAUUGGUUUACCAGGACCUCCACAAGUCUGUUGCGUAUCAUACUGCCCUACAUACUGUCCAUCAGAUUGCAACGCCAAAGGAUUUACUAAAGGUGGAUUUUGUAUACUUGUACAUGGAUUAAAUAUGUGUUGUUGUAAAGCGUAA